UACAGGGGGUGCAAACGUUGCUCGGAAUCAUUGGGCGUAAAGCGCACGUAGGCGGUUUGUUAUGUCGGAUGUGAAAGCCCUUGGCUCAACUGAGGAAGUGCAUCCGAAACUGGCAAGCUAGAGUACUAAAGAGGGUCGCGGAAUUCCCGGUGUAGAGGUGAAAUUCGUAGAUAUCGGGAGGAACACCGGUGGCGAAGGCGGCGACCUGGGUAGAUACUGACGCUGAGGUGCGAAAGCGUGGGGAGCAGACAGG
rnacentral:rRNA from 1 species